GAGGGGCAUGUGGCCCCCAGUCCUGCCUCUCUGCCCUCUACCAAGGGGUCCUGCCUCUCUGAAGACCGGUCUAAGCCGGUCAACUGAUCAGGAUGGAUUUGCUUGGACUUUAGAUGUGAUCCCAGAAUGGCUGGUAGAAUGGGCUGUAGAAAUCAGAAAACUGGAGUCCUUAAAGACCAGGAGAGUGAGUGUCGUGUCGUGUCAAAGAAGCCUGUCUGGGAUUCUGCUCCACGUGGAGGUUGGAAAGAGCAGCGCGGCUGCUCUGGAAAUCUUGUUUCCCCUGCCACAUGACAUCAGUGGGUUAUAUUGCAACUUUCCACAUGGCUGCCCAGACACAGACAGUUGUGUUCAUGAAAAUCCUCCUGAUACUGGCUUGGAGCCUCCCUGGCACUCGAGGCUCCUUCUGAGGCUGUGCUGUGUUCUGCAGAGGAACAGUUGACAGAGGGCUGGUGGAAGGUGAAUGGCGGAGGGGCUUGCUCUCCUCAUUCUGAUCCAGUGCGUCUGCCCACACCCUGUUACCUCCAGGGGGCUUCGGGUGCGCAGGAUCAGAAUUUUCCAACAAUAGGAAACGUGGGGUCAGAAUGCUGGUCAGGUUAUUUCUGCCUCUGAUCUACGUAUAGCUUUGGAUAAGCCAUUUUAUCCUCCCAGUUCCCCAAACUAGGAAACUGAUCCCUGUCUCUCCCCAUCAAAGACGAGUCUAGGGACACGGUGACAAGCUAUAAAGGAACACAUUGGGGAGAGAGGAUCAGUAAACUUAAAAGACAUUUCAUCUCUCUGAGCUUUAGUUUUCCUUUCUAUAAAAUGAGGGACAAUGUUAGUUGCUUUCUACAGCCUCUCCAGAUGUAAUAAAUAAGUAAAUAAAUGAAGCCAUAGCUGUG